rnacentral:lncRNA from 1 species
UUUUUUUAAAGUUUUAAUUACGUAUAGUUGAUUUACAAGGUUGUGAUAAUUUCUGAUCUUCAACAAAGUGGUUCAGUUAUCCACAGGCACACAUCCCUUCUCUUUCAGAUUCCUUUCCCACGUAGAUUAUCCCAGAAUACUGGUUCCCUUGUGGCACAGUAGGUUAAAGGUCUGAUAUUGUCACUGCUGUAACUCUGGUCAUUGCUGUGACUUGGGUUCAAUCCCUGGUCUAGGAACUUCCACAUGCCAUGGGAAAGGUCAAAAAAGAAGAAGAAGAAAUAGAAAGUUUAUCUUCAUAUGCACGUCAAGUACAAUUGUGUUUGCCAUUCAUUUACCUAUAAAAAAUACCCUAAAUAAAAUCAUUGUAAGGCUAGAUAAUUAUUCAAUGUUUUGAAGUGGUCAAUGUUACACUGAGUGAAUCUCACAUUAUGGCAUUUCCUCCCCCAGUUGUGUAGGUGAGCUGUUAAGGUCCUCAGCUGUCCUUUAUGCCCCACAGAUACCAUGGCUAUGAUGCUUCCUGGGGCUUGUCCCCCUGAGGCCAGAUGGCUUCCUGAGUCAGCAUCUAGAGCAGGUGUUCCAGAGACUUUAGAUUCUUGCUUCUGGUCCAGUCAAAUCUGAAUAAUUAUGCUCAGAUCCAAAAGUCCCAGCCUCCACCUGCUUCAUGGUUCAGCUCUUCCUUCAGAUCAACCCUACCUCCCUCUUUUAUAGGUGUGCUUCUCAGGGCAGGACUAGAUAAUUCUCCUGCAGGUAAACUCCAGCUCCACAUCUGCUCCCAGGGAACCUGACCCAAAGUCAUGUCACAAAUUUAACACUAUUAAUUUUAAUUUAACACUGUUAAUUGGUACGCCCUUCAUUUCUUCCAUUGAAAUCUUCCGUGUCAUCAAAGAUUUUGCUUUCUCACUACUUCCUUCCAGGAGCCACUACCACCAGCAUGGGGUCUCUUCCUUCAAAGAAAUCCUGGCUGUCUUAGGCCUCUACAGCAGCUCUGAACCACCUGGUUCCACCAAGUACAUACCCCUGUCCAUUUUCUCAGGAUCUGAUGCAACUUAAAGCAAAAACUCAUAAUAAAUAGAGGCAAAUUAAUUUAAAAAAUAAAAGGAGCCUAAAAGAUCAGGGUCUGGGAAAUAUGCAUAAGAAUCAAAAGGCCUAUAGUGGUCAGAAAGUCCAAACUGCCAGUAAUAAGAUAAAUAAGUCUGAAGGUGUAAUGCACAGCAUAGUGGCUAUAGUUAGCAAUACUCUACUGUAUAUUUGAAAAUUGUUUAGGGAAAAAUUUUUAAAAGUUCUCAACAAAAGGGAAAAAAAGGCAAGCUUGGAAAUAGCUUAAAAAUAUAUCUUCCAUCAAGGCAGAAAAGAACAACAUAGAAGCCAAGUAACUUUUAUCAUCAGAAGAAAAAAUCCAGAAAGCUAACAUCUCAGUUCCUCAAUGUGAGCAAAUAUUUCCUUUGCUUGUUUCUUUUUAUUUUAUAUAACUGGGGUAUAGCUGACUUACAGUGUUGUAUUAGUUUCAGGUGUAUAGCAAAGUGAGUCAGUUAUACAUAUAUCCAUUCUUUUUUACCAUACAGAUUGUUACAGAACAUUGAGUAGAACUCCCUGUGCUAUGCAGUAGGUCUUUGUUAGUUAUCUAUAUUAUAUAUAGUAGCAUAUAUGUGUUAAUCCCAUCCUCCUAAUUUAUCCCUUCCCUCCAUUGUUUCCCCACUGUUAACCCUAAGUUUUAUUUUGAAAUCUGUGAGGUUUUUUUUGUUUGUUUUAUAAACGAAUGCUUUUGUAUCAUUUUUAUUAGAUUCCAUAUAUAAGUGAUAUCAUGUGAUAUUUGUCUUUCUUUGUCUGACUUACUUCACUUAGUAUGUUAAUCUCUAGUUGCAUCAUUGUUGCUGCAAAUGGCAAUGUUUCAUUGUUUUUAAUGGCUGAGUAGCAAUCCCAUUGUGUAUAUGUACCACACUUUUUCAUCCAUCCAUUCCUCUGUUGAUGGACAUUUUGGUUGCUUCCACAUCUUGGCUGUUGUAAAUAGUUCUGCAACAAUCUUUGGCUUCGUUCUGACAGAAAUAUCUCACCUGAGGCUUUAAGUAGCACUGAGAAAGGGAAAGAAAAAACUAUCCUCAAGGAUAUUUGUGCAGUAAACCCUGUUUCAUUUCAUGUGGCUUUUUAUGAAAAUGUUAAGCUCUGUUCUUAAUCUCAUGAUUGCCACUUACUAUACACCCUGCUGUGGUGCUCACCAUCUCUUCAUGUUCCUCAGAUGCCAUCGUUCUUAAUUUAUGAUCAUCAUAUAUGCCAAACAGCUUCUGAUGUAUAGUAAAUGAUUUCUAGGGCUGCGUUAGUGCCUACCUAGCCAACAGGAGAAAUUCAGUGAGUGGUAGUUAUUACUGUAAUUAAUCUUAUGGUUAAUCCUAUGGAUUAAUAUAGUUGAUUUUGUUUGUUUGUUCAACCUGUCAUUUUGCAAUAAGUUGAAUGGAAAACAAUUACAGCGGUUUUCUGGGAGAAGAUCCUGAAUUAAAAACACUACACUGAUGUUAAUAAGCAAUCUAGUCAUGCAUGAACAAUAGGAAUCCAACCCUGUCCAUCUGGUCUCACUCCUGGUAUCAUUUCAGCCUGCUCUCUGUCCCACAGAGCCUGUGGCCUUCUCCCUUUCCUUGUGUUAGUUUAUCACACCACAUUUAUUUGUGCAUAGUGUGUACGAAUAAGCCACCAACAAAAUCUGCAUUUAUUCUGUGCUUCCAUUCUGUCCAUACCAGCUCAUGUGUUUGAAGGGAUCUGUUGUUGUAGUUUGAAUUCAGCAUGUGAAGCUAUUUUUAACUGAGAGUCUGAUUCUGAUGAUCAAGUCUGCCUUCAAACAGAGAACAGAGGUCCAUGACUUUCUUAAUCACCAUGCCUUGUCUGGUCUAAGUUUCCCCAUCAUCCAGUAGACACUGAGAAUGCAGACCUAAUCUGUAUUAGGUGAUUCCCAGGAGGCUGAGCUUUCUUUGGCCUGUCUUCUAACUCUAUAAGAAAUAUGGAGCCAUAUGGUAAAAAUAAGAAAUUGACUCUUGGCUUCUAUUUUUCUGGACCUCUUGGGUUGACUGACUCAGAACUGGAGUACAAGUCUUAAUGAUCCAGAGAAAAGAUAUAUAUGCAAAAAGUAAGUUUAAAAUGUAGGGUACAUUUGAGUCAAUAUCAUCUAUAUCUCACUGGAGUGAACUGGGAUCAUAAUAGGCAUGAAUGGAUAAAAGGCAAUAUUUACAUUUAUAGUUAACUUUAUUUUCUCCAGAAGUAUAUUUUUAGAUCUAGAAAUUUGGAACUCCACAGUUUGUCAUUACAUUUUGCCAUUCUGAUAGGGCAAGUCCAGAGCCAGUGAAUAUUUAUAAAUAUAUCACCAGAAGUUCCCACUCUAGCUCAGGAUGUUAUGAACCCAACUAGUAUCCAUAAGGAUUUGGGUAUGAUCCCUGGCCUUGCUCAGUGGAUUAAGGAUUUGGCAUUGCUGUGAGUCGUGGUAUAGGUUGCAGACUGGAUUAGAUCCUACAUUGAUGUGGCUGUGGUGUAGGCCAGCUCAGAUUUGACCCCUAGCCUGGGAACUUCCAUAUGCUAUGAGUGCAGCCCUAAGAAAAAAUGAAAAAAAAAAA